CCUACGGGAGGCAGCAGCAGGGAAUCUUCCACAAUGGACGCAAGUCUGAUGGAGCAACGCCGCGUGAGUGAAGAAGGUUUUCGGAUCGUAAAGCUCUGUUGUUGGUGAAGAAGGAUAGAGGUAGUAACUGGCCUUUAUUUGACGGUAAUCAACCAGAAAGUCACGGCUAACUACGUGCCAGCAGCCGCGGUAAUA
rnacentral:rRNA from 1 species